rnacentral:rRNA from 1 species
GACGAAGGGGGCUAGCGUUGUUCGGAAUUACUGGGCGUAAAGCGCGUGUAGGCGGUUGUUCAAGUCGGGUGUGAAAGCCUUGAGCUCAACUCAAGAAAUGCACUCGAUACUGGAUGACUUGAGGACCGGAGAGGAUAGUGGAAUUCCCAGUGUAGUGGUGAAAUACGUAGAGAUUGGGAAGAACACCGGUGGCGAAGGCGGUUCUCUGGGCAUUGACCUGACGCUGAGGAGCGAAAGUGUGGGGAGCGAACAGG